rnacentral:rRNA from 1 species
AUUGAACGCUGGCGGCAGGCUUAACACAUGCAAGUCGAGCGAGCGGCGGACGGGUGAGUAAUGUCUGGGAACGUGCCUGAUGGAGGGGGAUAACUACUGGAAAGGGUAGCUAAUACCGCAUACCAUCAGAUGUGCCGAGAUGGGAUUAGCUAGUAGGUGGGGUAAUGGCUCACCAAGGCGACGAUCCCUAGCUGGUUUGAGAGGAUGACCAGCCACACUGGGACUGAGACACGGUCCAGACUCCUACGGGAGGCAGCAGUGGGGAAUAUUGGACAAUGGGCGCAAGCCUGAUGCAGCCAUGCCGCGUGUGUGAAGAAGGCCUUCGGGUUGUAAAGUACUUUCGGCGAGGAGGCGUUACUCGCAGAAGAAGCACCGGCUAACUACGUGCCAGCAGCCGCGGUAAUAC